rnacentral:rRNA from 1 species
AAUGAACGUUGGCGGCGUGGAUUAGGCAUGCAAGUCGUGCGAGAAACCAAUUAGCUUGCUAAGAGGUGGACAGCGGCGAAAGGGAGAGUAACGCGUGGUUACGUACCCUCGAGACCGGGAUAGUGUUGGGAAACUGGCAGUAAUACCGGAUAACAUCUUCGGAUCAAAUGGUGUGAUUCCGCUCGAGGAUCGGACCGCGUACUAUUAGCUUGUUGGCGGGGUAACGCCCACAAGGCUGCGAUGGUUACCGGGUGUGAGAGCAUGGCCCGGCUCACUGGGACUGAGACACUGCCCAGACAUCUACGGAUGGCUGCAGUCGAGAAUCUUCGGCAAUGGACGCAAGUCUGACCGAGCGACGCCGCGUGCGGGAUGAAGGCCCUCGGGUUGUAACCG